GUCCCCCUAAAGUGAGCGUCCUGCCGCCGUCCAGUGAAGAGAUUUCCACAAAGCAAGCAGCAACACUGAUGUGUGUGGCCAACAAGGGCUUCCCCUCAGACUGGAGUCUGAACUGGAAGGUGGACGGGAUCAGCAGCAGGUCUCAGUACAGCAGUGUUGCUCUCCUGGAGAAGGACGGUCUGUACAGCUGGAGCAGCAGUCUGACUCUCUCUGAGCAGGAGUGGAGCUCAGUGAUCUCAGUCAGCUGUGAGCUCACACAGAAAGACCAGCGUGAUAAAGUCACUGGAGAAUUGAGGAGAGAUCAGUGUUCACAGUAGAUCCACUCACUCUCUCCUCUGUCUCACAUCAAGACUAACAGACUAACUGUGUUUCUCUCUCUCAUCUCACAUC